AUUGAACGCUGGCGGCCGGCCUAACACAUGCAAGUCGAGCGAUCGGCGGACGGAUGAGUAAUGUAUGGGGAUCUGCCUGAUGUAGGGGGAUAACUACUGGAAACGGUAGCUAAUACCGCAUACCAUAAGAUGAACCCCUAUGGGAUUAGCUUGUAGGUGAGGUAACGGCUCACCUAGGCGACGAUCCCUCGCUCGUCUGAGAGGAGUAUUAGUCACAUUGGGACUGAGACACGGCCCAGACUCCGAAGAGAGGCAGCAGUGGGGAAUAUUGCACAAUGGGCGCAAGCCUGAUGCAGCCAUGCCGAGUGUAUGAAGAAGGCCUUCGGGUUGUAAAGUACUUUCAGUCGGGAGGCGUUACCGACAGAAGAAGCACCGGCUAACUCCGUGCCAGAAGACGCGGUAAUAC
rnacentral:rRNA from 1 species